rnacentral:rRNA from 1 species
UGCCAGCAGUCGCGGCAACACGGGACAGACAAGUGUUAUUCAUCUUUAAUAGGUUUAAAGGGUACUUAGACGGCAAAUUUGGCCCCCGCUGUGUCGGGAUGGUACCUUUUUGCUAGAGUUUUAUAUGAGAGGAAUUUAGUACUAACAGAGUAGAGAUGAAAUUUUUUGAUACUGUAGGGCACUGGUAACGGCGAAAGCAGACCUUUAUGUAAAAACUGACGUUGAGGGACGAAGGCUUGGGUAACAAACAGGAUUAGGUACCCUAAUAGUCCAGGCAGAGAAUGAUGAAUGCCAUAGAUUAGAGUUAUUUGAUCUAUAAAUGAAAGUGAAAGCAUUCCACCUUAAGAGUAAUGCGGCAACGCAGGAACUGAAAUCAUUAGACCGUUUCUGAUACCAAUAGUGAAGUAUGUUGUUUAAUUCGAUGAUCCACGAAAAAUCUUACCACAAUUUGAAUGUUAUAGCAACUAACAGUAAAGUCUU